UCGAGAAUCUUUCGCAAUGCCCGAAAGGGUGACGAAGCGACGCCGCGUGUGGGAAGAAGGCCUUCGGGUUGUAAACCACUGUCGGGAGUUAGGAAAUGCAAGAGCGUUAAUAGCGCACUUGCUGACUAAGCUCC
rnacentral:rRNA from 1 species